rnacentral:rRNA from 1 species
GACGCAGGGUGCAAGCGUGUCCGGAUUUAUUGGGCGUAAAGAGUUCGUAGGCGGUUUGUUAAGUCUGGUGUUAAAGACUGGGGCUCAACCCCAGCAUGGCAUUGGAUACUGGCAGGCUAGAGUGUGGUAGAGGUCUCGGGGAAUUCCAGGUGUAGCGGUGAAAUGCGUAGAUAUCUGGAGGAACACCGGCGGCGAAAGCGCGAGACUGGGCCAUAACUGACGCUGAGGAACGAAAGCCAGGGGAGCGAAAGGG